GGCAGCAGCAACAUCAGCAGGUAAUCUAAUUGCCUUGUGCUUUGAGACAAGCGAAUUAGUGACGCAUGGAUGUAGCUACAGGUGGCUAACAGGACGACAGUGAAAAUGAUGGAUACGUUUUUGAAGAGGAAAAAUACUGACUCAGAACUGGACCCUGGACAAAAUCCGGACCCAGAUGAAGGCCCUAGUAUGAGUGGAGGUCAAAAGAAAGCAAAGACGUCCAGCAAAGUUUUUGGCGCGAGGCAAUACAACGAAAGCUAGCUUUCAUUUGGAUUUAUUUUUACUUUACUAUGGUCCCAAGUACGCUUAAACUCCAUCUCCAAAAAACACAAUUCACUUCAAAACAAAAAUGUGGAGUAUUUUGUUCGCCUGCGUGAACACACGGAGAAACAAGCAACUUUCAUGACAGAAACCGCAAAGGUAAAGGAGAGAGCCCUUUAAGCUAGCUACCACGUCACUGAACUUGUGGCUAAAGCGAAAAAAGUCCCACACUGUAGCAGAGCAAUUAAUACUUCCGGCCUUUGGAAAGGGCGGGAAGCUAUCUCAUUGGAAAUGAGAUAGCUAAAGAAAUAGCCAAAGUUCCCCAUCUUGGCCAACAAAGCUAUUUUGAAAUGGCUCCCAUUUUCCACAACAUACCUGUGUGAGGUGAGCUUUUCAAGCCUGACUGCUGUAAAAACUAAAAACAGAGAAAGACAGAGAGCCGUGGAGGAAGAACUUCGUGUGUGUCUUUCAUCGAUUCCUGCCAGGAUAUCAGCUCUGUGUUCAUCCAAACAGGCCCAGGUUUCACACUGAAGUAAAUAUGAACAAAGACCUUUGAGAAGCACAGCAAGUCUCUCUCCUCUCGGGUCCCAGGUCAGGGACUGGAUCUCCCCACCAACACUGCACAGGUCAAACUUCCAGGGUCAAGUACUUACAAGUACAGCAUUGUGUCGUCUCUGAUAGGUCAGCCACCACUGCUGCUGCUUGCGGCCCCCCUUUGGAUGUGCACACAGCAGAUGGUGUCGAGGCAAGAAGACGGCUGCCGUCAGUGGACCAAGAGAGGAAGCUCACCCCACCCCCUCCAACACGCUGGAGGGGCACACAGCUCUCUGCUGCAACAUCCCACACCUGAAAGAGGCCUGGCGAGGCAGACACAAGGAGAGAGCCACUUGGCGACCAAGCGAUGGAAGUGACUGGAGAGUGCCCGGGAUGAGACAAAACUUGUGCGCAUCCAGAUGAAGGCCUAUUCAAUAAGAAGUUCCAUGAUCACGAAUAAGUGAUGCUGUGAUGCAGAGUGACUGUUUACAUACCUGGUGGAUAGUGAGCACGGGUCCACGUUCCAGACCAGCAAACAGUUCUGGCAAGCCACUGCAAGGCCAGACGCACACAACGGCUUCCACUGCAACGCUGCUACGCUCCGCUGAAGACGGUGCUUCAGGGUGGGAGUUGUAGCACUUGAGGUAAUCAAUACAAAAGUACGAAGAUUUGAUUCUCUCUCAAGGUGCCAAUUACAACACUACAAACAUGUUUCACUGCUAAUCAAUAUCCGUGUUUAUCAAUUUGCAAAAGAGAUGUGUCACCUUUUGGGAUUGUAGAUCUUAAUGGAGUCGUCCAGCAGGGCAACGGCAAAUUUAUCAGCAUGGGGAUGCCAGGCGAAGGCUCGCACCACACAGUCCAACCUGACAAAAUAUUUGUUUGGAUGUUUAUUUACAUAACGUACAGUCUUAAUGACAUACUCAUAAUGUGUUUUUGUCUUCCACUUAUCUAACUACAACUUCAAUAAAAAGUUUAAUACUAAAAUACACUGACAGUCAAUAGAAACUUUGAGGCCAUAUUUUUCAAAAUAAUUUUUAUUUAGAAGCCCUGAGCUGGAUUUUUCUCAUUGGAGUCAUUUGUUUAGGAUAUUGGCAUACAGAAACACAAAUGUAACCUAAUGUUGCAACCAGAUGUAGCCAUCCUGGUCCGGAGUUGUCACUCUUUCUCACCCUGGAUGCAGUCUAUCGUCAACAGAGCCCAUAUCCAGAGAUGUUGAUCAUGUGAUAGACGUGCCGCUCACUGGACUAACAUUGCUGGAAUUUUAGGUGACUUUAUAUAGGCCUCCAAAACCAAUCCUCAAAUGAAUCAUUAUCUCAACUACGAAGUCAACAGUAAAGUACAAUCACAACCCUUCUACAAGUAGAAAUAUGCUUACAUUUCUAGCGCAAACUAGAAUACUAAUGUACUAAACACUCAACUCACCAGUUUAAUGCUUGUGAAAACUCUGCAAUCAUGUUCUCGUUGCUCAACUACAUACCACACCACAAACAAAAAGCACAGUUCAACUUAAUGGACUGAACAUCAUUUCAUCCGGAGUGUACUUUAUUUGAAUGAUCAGGCAGGGCUUACCGUGAGAUGAGGAAACAAAGAUCCAUGAAAGGAAGAGAUCUUCUGCAAUAAUGCCAGAAUGCAGCCGGAACUCACUGACAACCAUUUAGGUACUGUGGGAGAGAGCAUCCAGGUUUCUAUACAAUGUACAUUACUGUACUGUACUGAUAUAAACCAUGGCUCAGAAUGGCUUGGACCAGUGAUUCUCAACGUAUUGUUGCUGAACUAACCAUGAAGCUUGUUUUGUA